rnacentral:rRNA from 1 species
AGCAGCCGCGGUAAUUCCAGCUCCAAUAGCGUAUAUUAAAGUUGUUGCAGUUAAAAAGCUCGUAGUUGAAUUUCGGGGUUAGUAGGUUGGUCAUGCCUCUGGUAUGUACUGGUCUCACUGAUUCCUCCUUCCUGAUGAACCUUAAUGCCAUUAAUUUGGUGUUUUGGGGAAUUUGGACUGUUACUUUGAAAAAUUAGAGUGUUUAAAGCAAGCUAACGCUUGAAUACAUUAGCAUGGAAUAAUGAAAUAGGACGUUCGAUCCUAUUUUGUUGGUUUCUAGGAUUGACGUAAUGAUUAAUAGGGAUAGUUGGGGCAUUAGUAUUCAAUUGUCAGAGGUGAAAUUCUUGGAUUUAUUGCAGACUAACUACUGCGAAAGUAUUUUGCCAAGGAUGUUUUCAUUAAUCAAGAACGAAA